GACGAACGCUGGCGGCGUGCUUAACACAUGCAAGUCGAACGGUAAGGCCCUUCGGGGUACACGAGUGGCGAACGGGUGAGUAACACGUGGGUGAUCUGCCCUGCACUUCGGGAUAAGCCUGGGAAACUGGGUCUAAUACCGGAUAGGACUCCGGACUGCAUGGUCUGGGGUGGAAAGCUUUUGCGGUGUGGGAUGGGCCCGCGGCCUAUCAGCUUGUUGGUGAGGUGAUGGCCUACCAAGGCGACGACGGGUAGCCGGCCUGAGAGGGUGACCGGCCACACUGGGACUGAGAUACGGCCCAGACUCCUACGGGAGGCAGCAGUGGGGAAUAUUGCACAAUGGGCGCAAGCCUGAUGCAGCGACGCCGCGUGAGGGAUGACGGCCUUCGGGUUGUAAACCUCUUUCAGCAUCGACGAAGCGAAAGUGACGGUAGGUGCAGAAGAAGGACCGGCCAACUACGUGCCAGCCGCCGCGGUAAGAC
rnacentral:rRNA from 1 species